UACGUAGGGUGCGAGCGUUGUCCGGAAUUAUUGGGCGUAAAGGGCUCGUAGGCGGUCUGUCGCGUCAGGAGUGAAAACUCGGGGCUUAACCCCGAGCCUGCUUCUGAUACGGGCAGACUAGAGGUAUGCAGGGGAGAACGGAAUUCCUGGUGUAGCGGUGAAAUGCGCAGAUAUCAGGAGGAACACCGGUGGCGAAGGCGGUUCUCUGGGCAUUACUUGACGCUGAGGAGCGAAAGUGUGGGGAGCGAACAGG
rnacentral:rRNA from 1 species